rnacentral:rRNA from 1 species
UGUGUAGGCGGUUGCUUAAGUUUGGUGUGAAAUCUCCCGGCUCAACUGGGAGGGUGCGCCGAAUACUGAGUGACUCGAGUGCGGGAGAGGAAAGUGGAAUUCCUGGUGUAGCGGUGAAAUGCGUAGAUAUCAGGAGGAACACCGGUGGUGUAGACGGCUUUCUGGACCGUAACUGACGCUGAAACACGAAAGCGUGGGUAGCAAACAGGAUUAGAUACCCUGGUAGUCCACGCCCUAAACGAUGCGCAUUUGGUGUGGGUCAUUCAGUUGAUCCGUGCCGGAGCUAACGCGUUAAAUGUGCCGCCUGGGGAGUACAGUCGCAAGGCUGAA